rnacentral:rRNA from 1 species
UAACGAGGAUUCCCUUAGUAACUGCGAGUGAAGCGGGAAGAGCUCAAAUUUGUAAUCUGGCGGUCUCUGGCCGUCCGAGUUGUAAUCUGUAGAGGCGUCGUCUGCGUCGGCCCGUGUACAAGUCUCCUGGAAUGGGGCGUCAUAGAGGGUGAGAAUCCCGUCGAUGACACGGAUGACCGAUGCUUUGCGAGGUGCCCUCGAAGAGUCGCGUUGUUUGGGAAUGCAGCGCAAAAUGGGUGGUAAAUUCCAUCUAAGGCUAAAUAUUGGCGAGAGACCGAUAGCGAACAAGUACCGUGAGGGAAAGAUGAAAAGCACUUUGAAAAGAGAGUUAAACAGUACGUGAAAUUGUUGAAAGGGAAACGCUUGAAGUCAGUCGCGUCUGGAGGCACUCAGCCAUGCUUCGGCUUGGUGUACUUGCCUUCGGAUGGGUCAACGUCAAUUUUGGCUGGUGGAUAAGGGUGAGGGGAAUGUAGCGUCAUUUAGGUGGCGUGUUAUAGCCCCUCGUCGAAUACACCAGUUGGGAUUGAGGACUGCAGCACGCCCUUGUGGCCGGAGGUUCGCCUCACGCAACGUGCUUAGGAUGUUGGCAUAAUGGCUUUAAGCGACCCGUCUUGAAACACGGACCAAGGAGUCUAACAUGCUUGCGAGUGUUUGGGUGGAAAACCUUUGCGCGUAAUGAAAGUGAAAGUUGGGAGCCUCUGUAAAAGGGGGUGCACCGACGCCCGGCCCUGACGUUCUCUGACGGUGCUGCGGUAGAGCAAGCAUGUUGGGACCCGAAAGAUGGUGAACUAUGCCUGAAUAGGGCGAAGCCAGAGGAAACUCUGGUGGAGGCUCGUAGCGAUUCUGACGUGCAAAUCGAUCGUCAAAUUUGGG